GAGUAAUGCUUGGGAACAUGCCUUGAGGUGGGGGACAACAGUUGGAAACGACUGCUAAUACCGCAUAAUGUCUACGGACCAAAGGGGGCUUCGGCUCUCGCCUUUAGAUUGGCCCAAGUGGGAUUAGCUAGUUGGUGAGGUAAUGGCUCACCAAGGCAACGAUCCCUAGCUGGUUUGAGAGGAUGAUCAGCCACACUGGAACUGAGACACGGUCCAGACUCCUACGGGAGGCAGCAGUGGGGAAUAUUGCACAAUGGGCGAAAGCCUGAUGCAGCCAUGCCGCGUGUGUGAAGAAGGCCUUCGGGUUGUAAAGCACUUUCAGUCAGGAGGAAAGGGUGUGAGUUAAUACCUCANAUCUGUGACGUUACUGACAGAAGAAGCACCGGCUAACUCCGUGCCAGCAGCCGCGGUAAUACGGAGGGUGCGAGCGUUAAUCGGAAUUACUGGGCGUAAAGCGUACGC
rnacentral:rRNA from 1 species